UGCAACCGGCCGUCGCGCCAACCCGUCCCUCGAUGCGGCGAUCGGUUCAGGUUCGUCCUGCGGAGGCCCGCCGCUUUCCCUGAAGCGGCGGGUC
rnacentral:sRNA from 17 species